rnacentral:rRNA from 1 species
AUUCGCCCUGUUUUAUCAAAAACAUCGCCUCUUGUAAAUUAAAAAUAAGAGGUCCCGCCUGCCCAGUGACACUAUGUUUAACGGCCGCGGUAUUCUGACCGUGCAAAGGUAGCGCAAUCACUUGUCUUUUAAAUGAAGACCUGUAUGAAUGGCAUAACGAGGGCCUAACUGUCUCCUUUUUCCAGUCAAUGAAAUUGAUUUCCCCGUGCAGAAGCGGGGAUAUAACCAUAAGACGAGAAGACCCUGUGGAGCUUUAGACACCAGGUCAGACCUUGUUCAACAUUCCUCAGACAAAGGAUACAACCAAAGGACUCUGUCCCAAUGUCUUCGGUUGGGGCGACCCCGGAGAACACAAAACCUCCAUGUGGAAUAGGAGAACUUCUCCCACAACCAAGAGUAGCCGCUCUAAGCAAUAGAAUUUCUAACCAGAAGAUCCGGCAAAGCCGAUUAACGAACUAAGUUACCCCAGGGAUAACAGCGCAAUCCUCUUUCAGAGUCCCUAUCGACAAGAGGGUUUACGACCUCGAUGUUGGAUCAGGACAUCCUAAUGGUGCAACCGCUAUUAAGGGUUCGUUUGUUCAACGAUUAAAGUCCUACGUGAUCUGAGUUUCCAGACCGGAA